AGGACGAACGCUGGCGGCGUGCUUAACACAUGCAAGUCGAGCGGAAAGGCCCUUCGGGGUACUCGAGCGGCGAACGGGUGAGUAACACGUGAGUAAUCUGCCCCUAGCUCUGGGAUAGCUCCGGGAAACCGGGAUUAAUACCGGAUAUGACCACUUUAGACAUCUGCUGUGGUGGAAAGAAUUUCGGCUAGGGAUGAGCUCGCGGCCUAUCAGCUUGUUGGUGGGGUAACGCCUACCAAGGCGACGACGGGUA
rnacentral:rRNA from 1 species